rnacentral:rRNA from 1 species
UACGUAGGGUGCAAGCGUUAAUCGGAAUUACUGGGCGUAAAGCGUGCGCAGGCGGUUUUGUAAGUCUGUCGUGAAAUCCCCGGGCUCAACCUGGGAAUUGCGAUGGAGACUGCAAGGCUAGAAUCUGGCAGAGGGGGGUAGAAUUCCACGUGUGAGCAGUGAAAUGCGUAGAGAUGUGGAGGAACACCGAUGGCGAAGGCAGCCCCCUGGGUCAAGGA